AUAACCGGUGGCGUUCCG
rnacentral:snRNA from 1 species